CGCUCGAUGUUUUUCCUUUAUAUCGAGUCGAACCUGCCCAGUGAUUCUUAUUUAACGGCCGCAGUACUCUGACUGUGCAAAGGUAGCAUAAUCAUUUGCCUUAUAAUUGAAGGCUAGUAUGAAUGGUUUGACAAGAAUAACGCUGUCUCUUAUAGAUUUUAUAGAAUUUGGUUUUUAGGUGAAGAAACCUAAAUAUAAUUAAAAGACAAGAAGACCCUAUCGAGCUUAAAAUAAUUUUUUUGGUAUAAUGAUAACACCUUGCUCAAAAAAAAAUUUUAGUUGGGGCGACUAAGGAACAUAAAAAGCUUCCUAUAAACUAUAGCUACUAAUAAGUAUUGAUCCAAAAAUUUGAUUAACAGAAUUAGUUACCGUAGGGAUAACAGCAUAAUCUU
rnacentral:rRNA from 1 species